ACUGAAUAGAUACCCGGGUAGUCCACGCCCUAAACGAUGUGCACUAGACUGGAGCGGCUCUGACGUCGUUCUGGUCGUAGAGAAAUUGUUAAGUGCACCGCCUGGGUAGUACGGUCGCAAGGCUAAAACCCAAAGGAAUUGACGGGGGCUCACACAAGCGGUGGAGCAUGUUGCUUAAUUCGAAGCAACGCGAAGAACCUUACCUGGGUUUGACAUGCACGGAUUAACCGGUGGAAACAUCGGCCACACUCGCAAGAGUGGAACGUGCACAGGUGCUGCAUGGCUGUCGUCAGCUCGUGCUGUGAAGUGUCGGGUUAAGUCCCUUAACGAGCGCAACCCUUGUCGCUAGUUGCUAACAGGUAAUGCUGAGGACUCUAGCGAGACUGCCGGUGUCAAACCGGAGGAAGGCGGGGUAUGACGUCAAGUCCUCAUGGCCCUUACAUCCAGGGUUGCAAACGUGCUACAAUGGUGCAUACAGAGCGACGCAAGACCGCGAGGUGGAGCAAA
rnacentral:rRNA from 1 species